ensembl:lncRNA
GAAGAGACAGGGGUGGAGAGAGAGAGAGGAAGAGACAGGGGUGGAGAGAGAGAGAGAGAGGAAGAGAUAGGGAUGAGAGAGAGGAAGAGACAGGGAUGAGAGAGAGAGGAAGCGACGGGGGUGGAGAGAGAGAGAGAGGAAGCGACAGGGGUGGAGAGAGAGGGGAAGCGACGGCGACAGAGAGAGAGGGGAAGCGACAGGGGUGGAGAGAGAGAGGGGAAGCGACGGGGGUGGAGAGAGAGAGAGAAAGCGACAGGGGUGGAGAGAGAGAGAGAGAAAGGACAGGGGUGGAGAGAGAGAGAGAGGAAGAGACAGGGGUGGAGAGAGAGAGAGAGGAAGAGACAGGGGUGGAGAGAGAGAGAGAGGAAGAGACAGGGAUGGAGAGAGAGAGAGAGAGGAAGAGACAGGGAUGGAGAGAGAGAGAGAGAGGAAGAGACAGGGAUGGAGAGAGAGAGAGGAAGAGACAGGGAUGGAGAGAGAGAGGAAGAGACAGCGGUGGAGAGAGCGAGAGAGGAAGAGACAGGGGUGGACAGAGCGAGAGAGAGAGACGGGUGGAGAGAGCGAGAGAGGAAGAGAAAGGGGUGGAGAGAGCGAGAGAGGAAGAGACAGGGGUGGAGAGAGCGAGAGAGGAAGAGACAGGGGUGGAGAGAGCGAGAGAGGAAGAGACAGGGGUGGAGAGAGCGAGAGGAAGAGACAGGGGUGGCGAGAGAGAGAGAGAAAGAGACAGGGGUGGCGAGAGAGAAAGAGAAAGAGACAGGGGUGGAGAGAGAAAGAGACAGGGGUGGAGAGAGAGAGGAAGAGACAGGGAUGGAGAGAGACAGAGAGGAAGAGACAGGGGUGAGAGGUAGAGAGAGAGGAAGAGACAGGGGUGGAGAGAGAGGAAGAGACAGGGGUGGAAAGAGAGAGGAAGAGACAGGGGUGGAGAGAGAGAGGAAGAGACAGGGGUGGAGAGAGAGGAAGAGACAGGGAUGGAGAGAGAGAGAGGAAGAGACAGGGAUGGAGAGAGAGAGAGGAAGAGACAGGGAUGGAGAGAGAGAGAGGAAGAGACAGGGAUGGAGAGAGAGAGGAAGAGACAGGGAUGGAGAGAGAGAGAGGAAGAGACAGGGAUGGAGAGAGAGAGAGGAAGAGACAGGGAUGGAGAGAGAGAGAGGAAGAGACAGGGAUGGAGAGAGAGAGAGGAAGAGACAGGGAUGGAGAGAGAGAGGGAGACAAAA